UUGGAGGGCAAGUCUGGUGCCAGCAGCCGCGGUAAUUCCAGCUCCAAUAGCGUAUAUUAAAGUUGCUGCAGUUAAAAAGCUCGUAGUUGAAUUUCGGGACCAAUAUGUCGGUCGUGCCUCGGUACGUACUGGCAUCGUUGGUUUCUCCCUUCUGACGAACCAUGAUGUCAUUUAUUUGGUGUCGUGGGGAAUCAGGACUGUUACUUUGAAAAAAUUAGAGUGUUUAAAGCAGGCACACGCUUGAAUACAUUAGCAUGGAAUAAUGAAAUAGGACGUUUGAUUCUAUUUUGUUGGUUUCUAGGAUCGACGUAAUGAUUAAUAGGGAUAGUUGGGGGCAUUAGUAUUCAAUUGUCAGAGGUGAAAUUCUUGGAUUUAUUGAAGACUAACUACUGCGAAAGCAUUUGCCAAGGAUGUUUUCAUUAAUCAAGAACGAAAGUUAGGGGAUCGAAGACGAUCAGAUACCGUCGUAGUCUUAACCAUAAACUAUGCCGACUAGGGAUCGGAUGAUGUUAAUUUUUUAAUGACUCAUUCGGCACCUUACGGGAAAC
rnacentral:rRNA from 1 species